rnacentral:rRNA from 1 species
GCCGCAGACAAUGUGCUAAGGUGGCAUAAUAAUUUGCCUUCUAAUUUAAGGAUAGAAUGAAAGGAAAUACGACUUUAAUAAUGUACAUAUUAUAUUCAAAAUAUAAACUUAACCUAAAAAUAAAAAGAUUUUUAUAAAAUAGAAAGACAACAAGACCCUGUCGAACUUAACUAUUUAGUUUAAUUGGGGAGAUUAAAAAUCAAAACUUUAAAAUUAAAUCCUAAUAAAGAUCCUAUUUAAUUGAUUUAUAAAACAAGUUACCGCAGGGAUAACAGCGUAAUUAGUAACAAAAGUACUUAUUAAAUUACUAGAUUACGACCUCGAUGUUGAAUUAAUGUUUCUUUUUCACGCAAUAGUAAAAAAAGUAGGUCUGUUCGACCUUUAAUACAUUACAUGAUUUGAGUUCAGACCGGUGCAAGCCAGGUCAGUUUCUAUCUUCUCACAUCUAUAUAACAGUACGAAAGGACCUUAUAUUCAAUA